AUUGAACGCUGGCGGCAGGCCUAACACAUGCAAGUCGAACGAGUGGCGGACUGGUGAGUAAUGUCUGGGAAACUGCCUGAUGGAGGGGGAUAACUACUGGAAACGGUAGCUAAUACCGCAUACCAUCGGAUGUGCCCAGAUGGGAUUAGCUAGUAGGUGGGGUAAAGGCUACACUAGGCGACGAUCCCUAGCUGGUCUGAGAGGAUGACCAGCCACAUUGGAACUGGGACACGUGCCAUACUCCUACGGGAGGCAGCAGUGGGGAAUAUUGCACAAUGGGCGGAAGCCUGAUGCAGCCAUGCCGCGUGGAUGAAGAAGGCCUUCGGGUUGUAAAGUACUUUCAGUGGGGAGGCGUUACCCGAAGAAGAAGCACCGGCUAACUCCGUGCCAGCAGCCGCGGUAAUAC
rnacentral:rRNA from 1 species